rnacentral:misc_RNA from 1 species
UGUAUAUGCUACUACGAGCAAGAAAAUAACUGGUGGGUGAGUAAGCUUAUCAGGAAAAGACAUGAUUCAUCCGUAACAAGUAUUGCCUGGCAUCCAAAUAAUGUUCUUCUAGCAACAACGUCCACUGAUGGUAAAUGUAGAGUAUUUUCAACAUUCAUUAAAGGCGUCGAUUCAAAAGACUCUGCCAUGGGGAGUUCUGCAGAUACCAAAUUUGGAGAGCAAAUUGUUCAGCUUGAUCUAUGCUUUUGCUGGGCUUUUGGUGUCAGAUGGUCCCCAAGUGGCAACACCUUAGCAUAUGUAGGUCAUAACUCCAUGAUAUACUUUGUUGAUGAAGUUGGUCCCUCUGCUGCAGCACAAAGUGUAGCAAUCCGUGAUUUGCCUCUUCGUGAUGUAUUGUUUCUUUCUGAAAGGA